AACGAACGCUGGUGGCGUGCUUAACACAUGCAAGUCGAACGAGAAAAAUUCCUUCGGGGAUUUAGUAAAGUGGCGCAAGGGUGAGUAACACGUGAAUAAUCUGCCCUCGAGAUCGGGAUAACAUGGUGAAAACUAUGCUAAUACCGGAUAAGACCACAUCUCAUAAGAGAUGCGGGAAAAGGAGUCUCAAUCUUCACUCGAGGAUGAGUUCGCGCAACAUUAGCUUGUUGGUGAGAUAAAAGCUCACCAAGGCUACGAUGUUUAGCCGGCCUGAGAGGGUGAUCGGCCACACUGGAACUGAGACACGGUCCAGACUCCUACGGGAGGCAGCAGUAAGGAAUAUUGGUCAAUGGACGAAAGUCUGAACCAGCCAUGCCGCGUGCAGGAUG
rnacentral:rRNA from 1 species